ACGAAUUGUUCUGGUUCAGUGACAGAGUGGGUUUUCGGAGGGAAAGCACCAGGGAAAACAACACCAACCAGCAGACGUGGCGCUUUAAAGCACAGACUUGUGCCUAGAAAGCACAGGGCAAAAGAUAAGUGUGGAUGAGCACUUGGUGAGGAAAUCCAAAUAAAUGCUAGUAGCAUUGGGUUCUAUUUCUGUACAAAUAUUUUCUGUUAAAAGCUUAGCUAAUUAAGCAUAUUUAUUGUCAAGAGGAUAACAUUAUUAACUAGCUACAUCUUAUUGACUGCCAGGAAUAAAUGUAUAGAAAGAAAAUGAAGUUAAGAGGACAUUAUGUUUAAUAACUAUAUUGUUUCUGUCUGAUUUUGAUCAAUUGUGUGGGGGUAAAAGUUUUAAUUGUUUCCAUUUAUUUAAGUUUUAGAAAACUGGCUCAGUAUUUCAAAUUACAGAAUUCAUCAAAUGGAAGAGUUAAUAAAAGUUUUUAGCCGUUAUUAAUGGUCCCAGUUUAUAUUAUAUGUUGAGGAAGCAAAUUAGUUUCAUGAAUGACAGGAUUUGAGCGCAACCUCAUUUUUAAUUUCUUUAAUUUAUUGAAGUUCCUCCAUUCAGAGGAAAUAAACCCAUAUAAGAAAAGGACGCCAUUAUAGGGAUGAAAAUGGGGCUUUGACUAAAUUAGAUGAUACCAUCCCAGGAAGUUCUUCCAUCACUGGGGAACUGGUGUUAUGGAACCGGUUGGGAAAUCUGUAACACAAGUUCUCAGAAAUGGUUAUCCUUCCCCACCCAACCGAAGUGGCUUCAUGACACUCCCUUGGGUGGAGGAGUGGGGAACCUGUGCCUCUUCAGAUGUUGAUGAACUACAGAUACCAUCAUCUCUCGCCCCUGGCCAUGCUGACUGGGGCUGAUGGGAUUUGCACUCCACCAACAUCUGGAGGGCCACAGGUUCCCCAUCCUUCCUCUGGGGUGCCUGGGACAUGGAAGUUGUCUUGCUAAUGGAAGGAAAAAUCAGUUAAGUGUCAAAAUGGAUGGUGCUUUGCGAAUCGAUAUAUGGUGCCAUAAUUCAUAGAAAAGAUGAGACCGAGGGGAGAGAUAAUAUCCAUCUUCAGAUUUCAAGGGCUGUCCCAUGGAAGAUGGAACAAGCUUGUUUUCUCCUGCUCUGAACCAAUGGCUUCAAGUCACAAGAAAUGAGAUUCCGACUCAACAUCGGGAAGGACUUUGUGACAGUAAGAGCUGUUCGACUGUGGAACAGUCUCCCUUGGGAGGUUGUGGACUCUCCUUCCUUGGAGGUUUCUAAGCAGAGGUUGGAUGGCCAUCUGUCAUGGAUGCUUUAGCUGAGAUUCCUGCAUUGCAGGGGGGUUGGUCUAGAUGACCCUAGGGAUCCCUUCCAAAUGUACAAUUCUAUUAUUCAUUCCUCUUUGCCUAUUUUGAUUUCCCCCUUGUGUUUUCCCCAAAACUUUGUUCUGUAUUUAUUAAUUAUUAUUUUUCUUCUCCAAAAUCAGUGUGUGCAGCAAUCAUUACCUUUGCUGUAUUACGUUUUGCAGGCAGAAUUAUUUUUUGUUAGUUUGGCCAGGUUAAGCUUUGUAAUUCAUUUUCAUUAUUCAAUUUGAGUGCCUGGGCAUUUUUGUUUUGUUUGUUUUUAAAAGUCAAAUUUGGUGGGUAUUAAGGGAGGGGGGAAGUCAGUUUUGAUUUGUAGCUAUUUAUUCCAAAAUGUAAAAUAUAAUUUGUCCCCCAUAUGAGAAGUCAUGUUUAUUUCAAAGAGGAACACCUGUCAGGCUUCUGGUAUUGAGUUAGUCGCAUUAUUGAAGUGGCAGAUUAAAUCUAAGCUAUUUCUGCCCUUUUAACAUACUGAUUUUUAUUGACUUUGUCAAUAGGAUACCAAAGGAAAUGAAUACAAAAGAAAACUAUGAAUUGGAUCCAAAGUUGUAAUUGGCAGAGUUUUGCUAGUGCUGAAGGAAGGCUGUGAAGAUUUUGGCAGAUUCCUCAUUGCCCCCUUGCCAUCUCAUGCCUCAUGAAAAAUUGCACAGAGAUCCUGGUAGAUGUUUAUUGAAUUUUCUAUUAUGAUUUUUCCCAGUGUUCUGAACUUUUGAAAUAAGUCAUUUUUUAAUGAUGAAGUUGCUAAAGCAAACAAUGUCUCUUUGGGAACUCACCAUGCUUUGGUUUAGCACAGAGUGUGCUGUGUAUCCUCUCAUUAUGACUUGCUUGCAUAUCCUUUUGAUUUUACAAGGCUCAGAUCAGAUCCUAUGGUUAAAAUUGGGGGGUGGUAGAGACAACAGAAGACAUUGUUAACCUCUUUCCAAAAUCACUGUUAACCUCUUUCCUCUGGGAGGAAUGGAGACUGAAACGUUUACCUCUUGAUUCCGCUUUAAUCCUGAUAUCUCAACACUCUUCCUUUCACACAGCAGCCAAAUGAGGUUCAUUUGCUAUGUGGGAAACAGUGGUAUUAUAUAAACUUGGGGACUUUUACCGUAAUCCAGGGGUCAGCAAACUUUUUCAGCAGGGGGCCGGUCCACUGU